UACAGAGGUCCCAAGCGUUGUUCGGAUUCAUUGGGCGUAAAGGGUGCGUAGGCGGCGCGGUAAGUCGGGUGUGAAAUCCCCGGGCUCAACCUGGGAACUGCAUCCGAAACUGCCUUGCUCGAGUAUGGGAGAGGGAAGUGGAAUUUCCGGUGUAGCGGUGAAAUGCGUAGAGAUGCGGAGGAACACCGAUGGCGGAAGGCAGCCCCCUGGGCUGACACUGACGCUCAGGCACGAAAGCGUGGGGAG
rnacentral:rRNA from 1 species